CGUAGGAGGCGAGCGUUGUCCGGAUUCAGUUGGGCGUAAAGAGCACGCAGGCGGUUUGGCAAGUCGGAUGUGAAAACCAGAAGCUCAACUUCUGGCCUGCAUCCGAUACUGCCCGACUAGAGGUAGGUAGGGGAGAUCGGAAUUCCUGGUGUAGCGGUGAAAUGCGCAGAUAUCAGGAGGAACACCGGUGGCGAAGGCGGAUCUCUGGGCCUUACCUGACGCUCAGGUGCGAAAGCUAGGGGAGCGAACAGGAUUAGAUACCCUGGUAGUCCUAGCCGUAAACGUUGGGUGCUAGGUGUGGGCGGUCAUCAACCCCGUCCGUGCCGAAGCUAACGCAUUAAGCACCCCGCCUGGGGAGUACGGCCGCAAGGCUA
rnacentral:rRNA from 1 species